AACCGCGUCCAUCCUCAGCGCCGGCACGGCCCGCCCCACCGCAACCACCGCCACCCGGCAGCGGGGGGGAUGGAGAAGGGGAAGGGGAGGGCAGCACUUGAUGCACGUUGGAGAAAUCCAGGAUAACCUGCCCUGACCUUUGCUGUGCACAACCCUGCUAGAAGAGCACGGCUGUUGUAAUGCAGCAAUAUGUCUUGAAUUGGCCCCAGGAGCUGAUGGGAAUUUGCAAAUCUAAUGUGAUUACUGCUCGAGGCAUUUCAACAGAAGACCAAAAAUAACCCUGAGAAGUAGAGCUGAAUGCAGACUCCUGUUCCCAGGCAGGGAAACACCAAAAUGCUAUUUUACCUCCACUUAGCCCUGUCCCUUCACUGCUAUCAUUGAGUUCAGCUCUCAGCCUGCUGUGUCCUCUGGUGCCAUCUGCAACCCUAUGAACAAGAGCUGGGAAAAUUGGUUUUGGAGACUCCCCCAGUGAUGGAUUUUCCUGUCAUCCUGUAGUCAUCACUUUCUGAAGUCCCUGAGGUCGUCUCCAUCCCAUAGUAAGUCUGGUGAGAAUCAUAGAAUUGUUUGCAUUGGAAAUGACCUUUAAAAGUAACCUAGCCAAUCCCCCUGCUAUAGCAGGGUCAUUGAUUAGGUGAUCAGAGUCCAGUCAAACCUGAAAAUCCCCAUCAUACCCUAUUUUCAUGUGUAGCACCAAAAAAACCUAUAGAAAUCAUCCCUUAGAUGUCAAAGGGGAUUGUGCAGGAAGGCUGGGAGGCUGAAGAGGAGCUCCUCAGCUCAUUCCAAUGGAUGCUGCUUACCUAAAAUCAGUUGUGACUCUUUGUGUCUCAGUUUCCCCAGGUGCAGGAUACAGAUAAUAAAACCUGCGUGGAGGAAUGCUGCAAAUGCUCAUGUGGUCCCAGCACUUCCCUGCUUAAAGCUUGGUGUUUGUUCUUGGGUUUGGGGUGUUUGCUGAUGGAGUCAUUUAAACAGCUUCUAAAUUUGUUCUAAAUCCACUCAGUGAAACCCUGGCCAGAACCCAGCCAUGUGCUAGAAGCUUUGAUACCAAAUAUUUCUGUAAAACAAGCCUACUGAUAUACUGCUUUAUCUUCUGGGUCUAUGCACUGUGGUUGCAUUUAUGAGUAAACCAACCAGGACCAAGCUGUUCUUUGGCCUUGAGGCCAACUGGUCUCCUCCAUUCAUCUCAGCCCUUAAACUGACCUCAAGAAUUGCUGAAGGAUUGGCGCACUGGCUCCAGCAUUGUCGAUUUAAUUGUUUGGGCAGUUGUUUUGGUGCUUUAAUAACUAGUGUGGAUAUAGUGUGUGUGUCAGAUCACAGAUUCCACAAAAAGCAACACCUUCUGGAUGAUGUGCUGUAUUUCAGCACUGAGGAUAAUUCUGUAUUCCCAUCUGCUUUAUUUUAAGCAGCUCUGGGGAUCGAAGGAGCCACCUUAAGAGAAUAGAGCCAGAACCAUCCUGCUCCAUCCACCCACGGGCUGACAGAUUAAAUCUUGUUUGCUUGUGCCAGAA